rnacentral:rRNA from 1 species
CCUACGGGAGGCUGCAGUGGGGAAUAUUGCACAAUGGGGGAAACCCUGAUGCAGCGACGCCGCGUGAAGGAAGAAGGUUUUCGGAUCGCAAACUUCUAUCAGCUGGGAAGAAGGAAGUGACAGUACCUGACUAAGAAGCCCCGGCUAACUACGUGCCAGCAGCCGCGGUAAUACGUAGGGGGCUAGCGUUAUCCGGAAUUACUGGGCGUAAAGGGUGCGUAGGCGGCCCUUCAAGUCAGAUGUGAAAGGUUACGGCUCAACCGUAGUAAGCCUUUGAAACUGUAGGGCUUGAGUGUGGGGGAGCAGAGUGUAAUUCCGAGUGUGGUGGUGAAAUGCGUGGAUAUUGGGGGGGACACCAGUUGCGAAGGCGGCUCUCUGGACUGUAACUGACGCUGAGGGACGAAAGCGUGGGGAGCGAACAGGAUUAGAUACCCGAGUAGUC